AUUUGAGAAGCUCGAGGUACAGGACAUAUUUUGUCCCAUUUCUAACAAGAUUAAUAGACGGCUGGGAUAAGGUCGUCGCAUGACUCAGUGCGCAUGCGCGGUCAGCCAUGUUUGAUGCUAUUCCCCACUCCUAAUGUUCACCACACAAUGUAAACAAACAGUGUAUGGCAUGUCAAAAAAAUUUCAACAUCAAAAUUUAAUCAUUUAUUUAUUGAAUAAAUAUUGUACGUCAACGUUGUGCGAUCGGUUGCUUCCCCCAGAGAUUCAGAUCAUCGUCGAAAAUGAUCUACUGGUGCUGGUGUGAGCCAAAUAGAACCAAGCUCAACGUUAUGUGAGAUAUAUUUAUAAAGAUCUAACAUAAUGAAUCUCAAUAUGAACAACAUCGUCAGGAUGGCUCAAAAAAUUAAAACCAAAUGCAGUACCAACUU